UGUCCUCGCACAGUUUUUCAUUUCUGGCGCUGUGCUGCUGGAUCUGCGCUUGGAUUUCUGUAAGUGACGUCUGGAAGUGAGCAGCCAUCUCCGAUCGCUUCUCCUCGUCCUCACGACAGCGGCGCAGGGCUUCGUCCUUUGGCAGCCAAAGACGUCUCACCAGCUCGGCGUGUUUCCUCAUCAAAUGGUCAAGUUUUUCCUCAGAAGAUGACAAAGCGCUCAGACUGUCUGCAACACAAGCAACCUCUACAAGCACAACCGUCGGGACAACGGCGACAUUGAGAAAGGACCAGCGCCUUUGGAGCAGCUUAGCGGUGACUCUCAUUCCUCCCGACAUGCACGAACGAGUUGUUGUCCGAGCUUGUCAAUGGACUUGGUGGUAGUAGCGGCUGCGUGUAUGCUCGUGUGUGUGUGUGUGUGUGUGUGUGUGUGUGUGUGUGUCCUAUUUUGGCAGGAAAAUGACCACAGGAGUCUGUAUGGAAAUUCCUGAGAGCCAAGAUGCCGCGGAUCUCCGUUCACAACGGCGUCCAGACAAGUAGGCGCUGGCAACGAGAGCUGACGUAGACCUGCGUUUGUUAGCCGGAUGAGCCAUCCGCCGCAGAUGCUGUCUCGGACGUGGAGGAGGAACCGUCGCGCGCGGCAGCAGAAGAGCGCAACAGGAGAUCGAGACCAAAGCGCAACCCCGCGCCAGUCGAGGACAACAGAGAUGCCGGUCGUUAGCGACGAUAACGUGCGGAGAAAUGAGAGCCGCCCGCCGCUGCAAACGGCAAGUCACGCCGACGACGUCCACGCGGUGGCACCUGACUGGACGCCGGUCGUGAUGUCACGGUGCGCGUCCGCCUCCAUCUGAAACUGUCCCAUGACACGCCACUUUGACCACUGUGAGGCCAUCACGCUUGACGCUAACAUCACAAGGGCUAACCUGAGCCUUGGCGCUGACAAUCUCGUUCAGUCUCCUGCCGAACUCCUCCAUGGGGUCGGCCGCUUCCCCGUCUCGCGGGCGAGGCGCUAACACCUCGGUGGCUUUCACCGACAUCACGGGAGCGCUGAGGAGGAAAUAGCAAUGGAGUCACGUGCGCGUGGCCCGCGCACCAGCGAGGUGGCGACAGUAGCCGACAAGAGCCAAGCUAAAUUAGGAAAUCUGUCGGUGCUCGGCACGAUGAAACAUGACAGCUGCAGCUGUUUGGCCACCACAAUAAGUACGACACACGCCAGCCGACUCUCUUGACCAGGAGCUUUCAUGUCAACUUUUGCAGGGCCGCUUGACAGCAAAUCUGAGCUAUUCCACAAAAAGUAUUUCCCCAAAAGCCUUUCACAGUUAUCCAAUGCAAAUUCGGAGCAGUUCAGAACACAAGCGUCUCUAAAGAAAUGGCCAGCCGGUCGUCUCUCAUCUCUCUGCAGGAUGUGUUUUUUUUGCCACCUCAGAAUUACAUCUCGCCGAAGGUUGUCACGAGCCCGAGCUAUGUCAUUGUAACAGUAAUCGAUGAUAAUCAGAGUCAGGUUCGCGUAUAAAGUUAUUUUCUGUGCUACCCGUAAAGUAAGUAAACUCACUUGUACAAACUGAA